GUACCCUAAUAAAACUGGUGUGCAAGGCAAGUUGCGGCCACGAGGUAGAGCUGCUAUUCAUGAGGCGGAGUGUAGAUGAGUGCUUUAAGUUUGUCUGGGCUGAAGGACUUCUGUACUACAAUGGUUACUUGCUUCUGGGAGGCUUGGUGUUUCUAAGAGUAGUUUAUCUCACCCAGCUACUUGAGAGGUUACAAUGUUUUGCUCUUCCACACAAGUUUAUUCCUUGUGUAGAUUCUUUUCAUUGCUUGGCCACGGUUUAUUCCAGGUAACUAAAGAUAGUUUACUGUCGAGUGAGUCUUAUAUAUUGGAGCUUCUUUUGAAUCACAGGAGGAAUUGGCUGAAUUUGUAUAGUGGGUUGAAGAUAUUAACAAUGCUCUACGUGAUGUCCGCAAGGAUUGAGAAGACAAUUGGUCGGAUUGCUUUUGGAAGAGGCAUCAGAAAGAAUAGAAACCAUGAUGCCUAUGUUGAUUCAAAGUAUAGUUAUCAAGCAAACCAUUGCUGUUAUUAGUUCUUAGUUCCUCCUAUAUGUUUGAGAAAUUCAAAUGAUGGAAUCUAUGGUCCAUAUUUCCUUUAAUUUGUGGAAUAUAUAUUGUGUAACCAAUAGUGGACUGGAUGGGUGCUGCCAUCGUGCUUUGCUAUUUCGUGUAACAGGCUAAAUCGAAUAUGAAUCGUGUUCUAUCAAGUUGGAUAUAAUGUCACUGCAUUUGUAAAUAAGUUAUUGUGUGAUGUGAUUC